rnacentral:rRNA from 1 species
AGUGAACGCUGGCGGUAGGCCUAACACAUGCAAGUCGAACGGCAGCACAGUAAGAGCUUGCUCUUACGGGUGGCGAGUGGCGUACGGGUGAGGAAUACAUCGGAAUCUACUUUUUCGUGGGGGAUAACGUAGGGAAACUUACGCUAAUACCGCAUACGACCUACGGGUGAAAGCAGGGGAUCUUCGGACCUUGCGCGAUUGAAUGAGCCGAUGUCGGAUUAGCUAGUUGGCGGGGUAAAGGCCCACCAAGGCGACGAUCCGUAGCUGGUCUGAGAGGAUGAUAAGCCACACUGGAACUGAGACACGGUCCAGACUCCUACGGGAGGCCGCAGUGGGGAAUAUUGGACAAUGGGCGCAAGCCUGAUCCAGCCAUACCGCGUGGGUGAAGAAGGCCUUCGGGUUGUAAAGCCCUUUUGUUGGGAAAGAAAAGCAGCAGGUUAAUACCCCGCUGUUCUGACGGUACCCAAAGAAUAAGCACCGGCUAACUUCGUG